rnacentral:rRNA from 1 species
CAGUCGCCACGGUAAUACGAAGGGUGCAAGCGUUACUCGGAAUUACUGGGCGUAAAGCGUGCGUAGGUGGUGGUUUAAGUCCGUUGUGAAAGCCCUGGGCUCAACCUGGGAAUUGCAGUGGAUACUGGCUCGCUAGAGUGUGUCAGAGGAUGGUGGAAUUCCCGGUGUAGCGGUGAAAUGCGUAGAGAUCGGGAGGAACAUCAGUGGCGAAGGCGGCCAUCUGGGACAACACUGACGCUGAGGCACGAAAGCGUGGGGAGCAAACAGGAUUAGAUACCCCAGUAGUCCCUGUCUCUUAUAC